UUUGAACUCUUCGGCUACUCUUGUCCAGGUUCGAUGUAACCGAUAGCACGUCCCGCGGUGAGAAGAAGGACACGGCCGGGUCGUUCUUCAUGUACGGACGGAUGACUUUCAUGAACUGUUCCGGGCCAAAAGGUGGCUAAGUCUUCGGACAGCCUCAAGAGUCUUGCCUUAGAGAGAUUUGGCUGAUCAAAGUUCAUGAACUGAUCGAAGUGUCGGAUCAGUUCAUCAGAACGAUCGCCGGUUCGGCCAAGACGGCUUAAGAGUGAGAGUCCAUGGUCGGAUUUGGAUUCCACUCGAACAACUUCACUUCUGGCUUGACCAAAGGACUUAACAUGUCGAACAGGACGGGAAAGGCGAGCUUCAGUACGGUUGAUUUGGCCAUCUGGUCGUGGGUUAUGCUGAAGCUCCAAACCGGACGAGUGCGGAUCAAGACGGUACACGGCCCGACCGGUAUGUUCGGCCCGAUCGAUGGACUGAACCUCAGUUGCGUUGUUCCGGACGUUCUGAUCCUCGUUCUGAUCUGAAUCCAUGGACUGAUCCUCGGACUGGGGCACAUCAUUCCCUCCUUCUUCAAAAGGAUUUGACCACAAAUCCGGAUCAUCUACAACAAAAGGGGAAAGAUCAGAAACGUUAAAGCUCGAAGAAAUGUCAUACUUACCUUGAAGAUCAAGCUGAUAAGCAUUGUCAUUGAUCUUUUUGAGGAUCUGGAAUGGACCAUCGACCCGAGGCAUAAGUUUAGACUUUCUUUCUUCUGGAAAUCGCUCCUUCCUCAAGUAAACCCAAACAAGAUCGCCUUCUUUGAAAAUAACUUCCUUUCUUUUCUGAUUGGCAUAUCUUUUAUAGAUCUCGGUUUUGGCUUCAAUGUUUGCUCGAACCUGUUCAUGUAGCUUUUUGAUAGUGUCCGCCUUCCUUUUGCCAUCUGUACUAACUCUUUCACUCAAAGGCAAAGGUAAAAGAUCAAGUGGACACAAAGGAUUAAACCCAUAAACAACUUCAAAAGGAGAAAAUUUUGUAGCAGAAUGCAUUGCAUGAUUGUAAGCAAACUCAACAUGUGGUAAACAUUCUUCCCAAAGCCUAAGAUUCUUCUUAACCAAAGAUCUAAGCAGAGCAGACAAGGUUCGAUUAACAACUUCAGUUUGACCAUCAGUUUGCGGAUGACAAGUUGUAGAAAACAUCAAUCUUGUUCCUAGUUUAGACCAUAAGGUUUUCCAAAAAUAACUAAGGAACUUAGCAUCACGAUCAGAUACAAUGGUCUUAGGCAUUCCAUGCAACCUAACAAUCUCUCUAAAGAACAAAUCAGCAACUUGUGUGGCAUCAUCAGUUUUAUGACAAGGAAUGAAAUGAGCCAUUUUCGAGAAUCUGUCAACAACAACAAAGAUUGAAUCUCGUCCAGACUUAGACCUUGGCAAUCCUAACACGAAAUCCAUAGAAAUGUCUACCCAAGGAUGAGAAGGAAUAGGAAGUGCAGAAUACAAACCAUGGUUUGAAGACUUGGAUUUAGACUUCUUGCACACCACACAACGGCUACAUAUCCGUUCCACAUCUUUCAUUAAGCUCGGCCAAUAGAAGUGAUCAUGAACCGCCUUGUAAGUCUUUUUGACACCAAAAUGUCCCAUAAGCCCACCUCCAUGAGCUUCCCUGAGAAACAACUCCCUCAAAGAACAUUGGGGCACACACAAACGGUUAUCAAAGAAUAAGAAACCAGAAUUUUGAAAGUAUUUGCCAUAAGCAACCUUUGGGCAUUUUCGAAAAAUCUCUUUAAAAUCCUGAUCAGAAGCAUAAAGAUCCUUGAUAAAUUCAAAACCAAGCAGUUUAGUUUCAAGAGCUGAGAGAAGAGUAUACCUUUGAGACAAUGCAUCGGCCACAACAUUCUCUUUACCUUGUUUGUACUUGAUCACAUAUGGGAAUGUUUCAAUGAACUCCAUCCAACGAGCAUGCCUCUUGUUUAGCUUUUGCUGACCUUUAAGGUGUCUUAGAGACUGAUGAUCAGUGUGGAUAAUGAACUCCUUAGGCCAAAGAUAGUGCUGCCACGUUUGAAGGGCCCUCACCAAGGCAUAGAGUUCUUGGUCGUAUGUGGGGUAGUUGAGCAUGGCCCCUCCCAGCUUCUCACUGAAAUAAGCCACUGGUUUUCCUUCCUGCAUCAACACAGCACCAAUACCAACACCAGAAGCAUCACAUUCGAUUUCAAAAGCUUUAGAAAAAUCUGGAAGUACGAGUAAAGGGGCAUGAGUCAACUUCCCUUUAAGGAUUUCGAAUGCUUCUUCCUGAGCUGGUCCCCAUUUGAACCCCACAUUCUUCUUGAUUACUUCAGUAAGAGGAGCGGCCAAGGUACUGAAGUUUUGAACAAAUCGCCUAUAGAAACCGGCAAGGCCAUGGAAGCUUCUUACUUCACCAAUGGAGGUCGGAAUCGGCCAGUCCCGAAUUGCUUGGACCUUCUGCUCGUCCACUCUCAAGCCAUCUGCACCUACAACAAAACCUAGAAAAACCACAUGAUCUGUGCCAAAAGAACACUUUCCAAGGUUAGCAAACAAACGUUCCUUUCUAAGGACUUCAAGAACAGAUUUCAAGUGCUGUUUGUGCUCAUCAAGGCUUUUGCUGUAAAUAAGAAUGUCAUCAAAGUAAACCACAACAAAAUGACCAAUAAAAGACCUCAAGACAUGAUUCAUUAGGCGCAUGAAAGUACUAGGUGCAUUAGUAAGACCAAAGGGCAUGACAAGCCACUCAUACAAACCUAGUUUUGUUUUAAAGGCCGUUUUCCAUUCAUCACCUUCUUUCAUCCUAAUCUGAUGAUAGCCACUUCUCAAAUCUAUCUUAGAAAAGUACUUAGAACCAUGGAGUUCAUCAAGCAUAUCAUCAAGACGAGGGAUAGGAUGUCGAUACUUUACCGUGAUGUUGUUUAUGGCCCGGCAGUCCACACACAUCCUCCAGGAGCCAUCCUUCUUUGGUACAAGUAGAACAGGCACGGCACAGGGACUUAGACUCUCUCUGAUGUAUCCCUUUUCAAGCAAGUCAUUGAUCUGUUUCUCCAGCUCCUUGGUCUCGACCGGAUUGGUGCGGUACGCUGGUCGGUUCGGUAGAGAGGCGCCCGGGACGAGAUCAAUCUGAUGCUCAAUGCCUCUUACCGGUGGCAAUCCUUUGGGAUUUUCUUCUGGAAACACAUCAGAAUAAUCCUGCAAGAUACCUAAAAACUUACUCGGAAUCUCCGGUGCAAGAUCAGAAGACGAUGUGGCCAAGAGAGACUCUUUAUAAAUAAGUAAGAGAAAUGGCUUUUGAGAGCAAAGAGACUUCCUUACCUGACUUUCCUUGACAAAGAAGUUGGAGUUUCUGGUACUGGUUUCAGGUUUAUCAGCUUUAGAGUCUUGGUCUCGAUUCUUCUUAAGUUGGACCUGGUCUUGAUGAACUUCCGAAGGUGACAAAGGCACCAAGGUGAUCUUCUUUCCUUGAUGAUCAAAUGAAUGCCGGUUUGUGAAACCAUCAUGCACUGCCUUCUUGUCAAAUUGCCAAGGUCGGCCCAAGAGAACAUGGCAAGCAUCCAUGGGAAGCACAUUGCACACAACCUCAUCCUCAUAUCGACCACUGGAGAGUGGAACCGUGACUUGUUCCUUCACAUACUGUUCUCCGGCCUCAUUGAGCCACUCCAACCUGAAAGGACGAGAAAGAGGCCGAGUAACAAGCCCAAGUUUCUUUACAAGGGUGUCACUAGCCACAUUAGUGCAACUACCUCCAUCAAUGAUUAAAGAACAAACUUUAUCAUAAAUGAGACAUCUUGAGUGAAAGAGAUUCUCCCUUUGUUCUUUGUCAUUGGAUUUUGGUUGGACACUCAAGGCACGCCUAGUAACCAGUAGUGAACCAUGGCUCGGCUCAUCAAGGACAUCUUCAUCAUAGAUCGGAUCAGAAUUCCCCACAAAGGUCGAGCAAAACUCAUCGAUCACUCCAUCGACCUCCUCAUCAAAGAUGGGAUCAGUGGGGUCGUCCAAGACCCUCCUAGUAACAAGAAGGGGACCAUGAACUGGGAAGUCAAGUGCUUCUUCCUCAUCGUCAUCAUCAUACACUGGUCCGAGAUCCUUCCUGUCUUCUUCAGAUUCGACUUCUCCAUUCUCCAAGAGCACCAUCACCUUUUGGUUUGGACAUCGAUUGGCAUAGUGGCCAAGGCCAUGACACCUAAAGCAUUGGAUGUCUCUGGUUCGUUUGGUAGCCUCUUCUUUCUUUUCUCUAUCAUCACGAGCAGGGACAUUAGUCUUAAAAGCUGUAUUUGUUGUGGAAGAAGACUUACCCUUGUCUUGAUAGUUUGGUUUGGAAGCAAAGGUCGGUUUAGUGAGACCCUUUCUCUUGGCUUGUUGCUCGAUAAGCACAGCCUUGUGUAGCAUCUGCUCCAUGCUGUCAUAGUCUUCCAGCUCCAUGCGGUCUUGUAUGUCCCGGUUGAGCCCGGUAAGAAAUCUGGCCAUGGUGGCGUCUAAGGGCUCUUCUACAUCAGCUUUGAUCAUCAAGGUCUCCAUCUCCUGGUGAUAGUCCUCAACUGUCUUAGAACCUUGAAGCAAGCGCCUGAGUUUAUGGUGUAGAUCCCGGUGGUAAUGGUCGGGAACAAAACGUCUCCGCAUCAGCAUGGAAAGCUCAUCCCAUGUAUCAACUGGCGCCUCACAUGCAUUUAAACUUGAAUUUUCAUUUUCAAACCACCCAAACCCUCAUUGGUUCUUUCAUUUCUACCAAAAGGAUUGACAUCACCUCGGUUUUGAUGCCUAGGAACUCUCCUUGGACGGUUGAUGGAUCGAUCAUCAUCAUAAGACUCUUCUCGGAUUUCUAGAUCGGACCGGCUGUUCCUCCUUGGGUGGUCACGUCUGGUUCUGGUACGUGACUGAGUUGGACGGCCCUGAAGUUCAUCAAGCCUUUGAUGGAUCGCCUCUAAACCUGUAUUCAACAAGUUAGACAUAGAAUCAUUGAGAGCACGCAUUUGUAAGUUAGAUAGCCCGGCAUGUGAGUUUCCGGGUCGGUUUCUUUCUUCUUCACUGUCCAUAGCUGCCUGAAAACUUAGACAAGGUAAAGUUAGAUAAAAACCCUCUCACACUCAGGUGUUUGUCCUUGCCCACACACGUGUUUCACUCAAUUUGGUAGUCACUCAAGAGAGUUUUCCUCAAAGUUCUAAGAGAACAAACUAGAUAUCCCAAAAAUGAGAAUCCCAAGUGAAACACCCAAGAGACAAGAUAGAAAGACAAGAGAUUUAACAAGGGGAAUCCGUAUUAACCACCUCCAAGACCGGAUUUCUCCUCGGCCAGCAGGAUUACUCUUCUACCACCAAACCACAAUCGAAAACUUUUGAAAACUUUUCUUUCUCUCUUUUUUUUUUUUUUUUUUUUUUUAUAGGGAUGGUAAAGAGGGGCCCGGAUUCAAAGAUAGAUAGAAGAAGAAUUUUUUUUUUUUUAUAUAUGAAGAAAGUGAAAGGUGAGAAAGAUGGAAUGAAAAGAGAUACCGGAAGAGUGGCUCUGAUACCACUUGAAGAACCCUAAGGAACGAACACUCAACCGGUUCUGAUGAUAUGAACUCGAUCUGAAGAGAUAGAGAACUGAUGGAUUGUUUAGUGACACAAAGGGAUGCGGAAGUCCCAAUGAUACUACUAGAACUCUCAAUGGCCGCUUGAUUUGACACACAAGUCCGGCUCAAAGAAAGGGGAAUCACUUGGAGAUAACCUCACCAAGGGAACAAGAAUGUUCUAAUCAAAGAACAAAGAAAGAACACUCAAAAAUGAAUAAGGAAAAUCGAUUAUUUCAUCUCAAUGAGGUGUUCACAUACUUAUACAACUUGUAGUCAAAGAUAAUAAGUAGAAUGUGUGAAAAAGAGACAUAGAAAAUAGAUAGAAGACCAGAUCUAGUCAAAGCACAGAAAAUAAUGUUGACUGGUCGAUUUGAACUCUUCGGCUACUCUUGUCCAGGUUCGAUGUAACCGAUAGCACGUCCCGCGGUGAGAAGAAGGACACGGCCGGGUCGUUCUUCAUGUACGGACGGAUGACUUUCAUGAACUGUUCCGGGCCAAAAGGUGGCUAAGUCUUCGGACAGCCUCAAGAGUCUUGCCUUAGAGAGAUUUGGCUGAUCAAAGUUCAUGAACUGAUCGAAGUGUCGGAUCAGUUCAUCAGAACGAUCGCCGGUUCGGCCAAGACGGCUUAAGAGUGAGAGUCCAUGGUCGGAUUUGGAUUCC
rnacentral:lncRNA from 1 species